UACGUAGGGUGCGAGCGUUGUCCGGAAUUAUUGGGCGUAAAGAGCUCGUAGGCGGCCUGUCGCGUCGGAUGUGAAAGCCCGGGGCUUAACCCCGGGUCUGCAUUCGAUACGGGCAGACUUGAGUUCGGUAGGGGAGACUGGAAUUCCUGGUGUAGCGGUGAAAUGCGCAGAUAUCAGGAGGAACACCGGUGGCGAAGGCGGGUCUCUGGGCCGAUACUGACGCUGAGGAGCGAAAGCGUGGGGAGCAAACAGG
rnacentral:rRNA from 1 species